AUGGUGAGUUGGGCUGUGCAGCCCUGGGUGAGGGCCCCAGGCGCCUCCAUUCUCAGAAAUCAGACACCUUCUGGCAGCACCUCUGCCCUGCCUCCUGGAUCCGCCUUCCCCUCCUGGCCCUUGGGUCUCCCCAUCUUUCUCAAUCUUGCCUGUGGUAGCGGCUCUCUCCUUUUAGGGUGUAUUUUUCUUUCUUCUGUCUCCCUCCCUCCUUGCUGGUCUUCCGUUCUCUCCUUUCACAGAAAGGGUAUCUGUGUCUUUGGUGGCAAAGCGAUUAUCACGGUCAUACCACAAGGAUGGCCUGCUGUCUCUUUCCCUCCACCACCCUCUUCUGAUCUCACCCCACUUUUCCUCCUCGUUAUUAAUCCACCUGCCACGGGGCCUCCUCAAAAAUCAGGUGCUCCUCAGAGCUUCUGUGUCUGGCCAGAAUGCUUGUUGAGUUCCUUUUCUGCUCACAACCCUCGUUACCUCUGUCCUGAGUUCUUCCUGAGGCUCCUCAUAGCGAAUCACCACGUCUUGCUUCAUUUUUAAGGCCUUUUGUCAUAACCGAAAUUAUUAUUAUUAUUAUUUUUUUUUUGUCUUUUGUCUUCUGAGGGCUACACCCGCAGCCUAUGGAGGUUCCCAGGCUAGAAGUCGAAUCAGAGCUACAGCUGCUGGUCUACACCACCGCCACAGCUACUCGGGAUCCAAGCCACAUCUGUGACCUACACCACAGCUCAUGGCAAGGCCAGAUUCUUAACACGCCAAGUGGGGCCGGGGAUCGAACCUGCAUCCUCAUGGAUACUAGUCAGGUUUGUUAACCACUGAGCCACAACGAGAACUCCAUAUAACUGAAAUUCUUAUUGUUUGUUUCUCCUGUACAUUCCAGGAGAGCAAACCUUGGCUAUCCGCCCACUGCCACAGAACUUACACCCAGCCGGGUCUAGAACAGGUUGGCACUUGGUGAGUAUUUCUUGGGAUGAACACUGCAACAAACCAAAGAAAUGGAUUGUUCCUAUAUGCUACGCUUGCUUCUGUUCUCUAUAUUUCUUUUGGGCACAUCCCUGCAGCUCUGCCCCGCCAUCUCUGCAUGUAUGUGUGUAUAUACAUAUUGCAAUAUAAAUAUAUGGCAUCUCUGAGACGCCUCUGUUCUGACUUGUGUGUCACCCUCUCUCCUGUCCCUUUCCCCUCCUUUCUGGAUCACCUUCCUGUGUCGUGGACUUUUUCCUUGUCCUGGGGACUCACUUAGUUUUGGUCGCUGUCGCCCUCAUCUUUCUGGCUCCAACUUCCCUCUUCCCCGUCUCCUCCCCUGCAACCCUCCGCCACCUUUCUUGCCUUCUGUGUGGCUUUGGGACUCUAGAAUCCACUGCCCCCUAACCAUCUUUCCCCCUUUCCCACUGAAUUGGUCUCCUUUCUCUCCACGUCUCCCUGUCCUUCCCAUUUAUAUCUCUACGCUAAGCUCUCCUCUGUCCUGCUCAUUGCAUCCCUUUCCAAUGCUGCCUCCAUGGAAUUCCUCCCCGGUCCCCUGCCUGGGCACUAGAUGUCUUUCUAGUCCAUCCACAGGGGCCCCAGGGGGAAAUUCCCAGCACCCAGGUCUGGUCCCGUCCCUCCUCUGUUCCCUUACUGAUGCCCCAUGUUAUAAAGAUAGAGGCAGGUGGACCCCCCGGCAGCAUAGCACCAUCGCCAAGCACUUCCUCCUGGCUGUGUGUCCAUGGCUGUAUUCUCAUUCAGACUGGGAGCCCCUGGAGGGCAGGGCAGGCUCUGAAUCAUUUCUGUACCCCCUGCGAUGCCCAGCAAAGGACCUGGCAUGCUGGGGACCUUGGGAAAUAUUUGUUGAGCAAAUGAAGGGAAACCCACUAAGCACUCUCCCUUGCGGAUCCUCAGGGACCUUCGAAGCCAUACCCCCAUCCGGCCCCUCUACCCCAUAGCCCUUUCCAGAUCAAGUGCCAUUCUCUCUCAUCUAUUCCAUAGCAUCAGCCUCCUGUGCACCCCUUUCUCAUGUCCGUGGUGGUUCCUUUUAACCCUGACAUCUGAUCCUGCUGUUUACCUACUCAAAACUCUCCCGUGUCUCCCAGUACCCUUGGAAUAAAGCCCAAGCCCCCCAGCCUAGAAUCCCUGCA
rnacentral:lncRNA from 1 species